GUGGGGAAUAUUGGGCAAUGGGGGAAACCCUGACCCAGCGACGCCGCGUGAGGGAAGACGGCCUUCGGGUUGUAAACCUCUUUUGUACGGGAAGAAGGAAGUGACGGUACUGUACGAAUAAGUCCCGGCUAACUACGUGCCAGCAGCCGCGGUAAUACGUAGGGGACGAGCGUUGUCCGGAAUUACUGGGCGUAAAGGGCGCGCAGGCUGUGCUGCAAGUCAGCUGUGAAAUGUCUGGGCUUAAACCGGGCAUGCGGUUGAGACUGCAGUGCUGGAGUGCUGUAGAGGCAAGUGGAAUUCCCAGUGUAGCGGUGAAAUGCGUAGAUAUUGGGAAGAACACCGGUGGCGAAGGCGACUUGCUGGGCAGCAACUGACGCUGAGGCGCGAAAGCCAGGGGAGCAAACGGGAUUAGAAACCCGUGUAGUCC
rnacentral:rRNA from 1 species